UACGUAGGGGGCAAGCGUUGUCCGGAUUUAUUGGGCGUAAAGAGCGUGUAGGCGGCCUGAAAGGUCCGCUGUGAAAACUCGAGGCUCAACCUCGAGACGUCGGUUGAAACCAUCUGGCUAGAGUCCGGAAGAGGAGAGUGGAAUUCCCGGUGUAGCGGUGAAAUGCGCAGAUAUCGGGAAGAACACCCGUGGCGAAGGCGGCUCUCUGGGACGGUACUGACGCUGAGACGCGAAAGCGUGGGGAGCGAACAGG
rnacentral:rRNA from 1 species